CUGCAAGGGAGGGCCAGUCCCCGUCCCUGCGGCGGUCGCCGCAGCAGCAGCAGCAAAAGGCAGCGGUGGCGUGCAGGUCCAGCCGUCUCGGUGACCGUGCUCCCCGAAGGACACCAGCCCAAUGGAGAUGGUCUGCAGGAAUGGCCGGAUGGCAGGCGUGAACUGUGGAGAGACGCGGCUGCGUCACCCACCGCUCAAGAGAGGGAUGGGGACAGGGCAGGAGCGAGGCACAGGGAUGUGCGGGGAAGACACAUUCAUUCAGUAAACG
rnacentral:lncRNA from 1 species